rnacentral:rRNA from 1 species
UACGAGUUUGAUCAUGGCUCAGAUUGAACGCUGGCGGCAUGCUUUACACAUGCAAGUCGAACGGUAACAGGCCUUCGGGUGCUGACGAGUCGGCGAACGGGUGAGUAAUGCAUCGGAACGUGCCCAAGUCGUGGGGGAUAACGUAGCGAAAGUUACGCUAAUACCGCAUAAGCCCUGAGGGGGAAAGCAGGGGAUCGCAAGACCUUGCGCGAAUGGAGCGGCCGAUGUCAGAUUAGCUAGUUGGUGGGGUAAAAGGCCUACCAAGGCGACGAUCUGUAGCGGGUCUGAGAGGAUGAUCCGCCACACUGGGACUGAGACACGGCCCAGACUCCUACGGGAGGCAGCAGUGGGGAAUUUUGGACAAUGGGCGCAAGCCUGAUCCAGCCAUGCCGCGUGCGGGACGAAGGCCUUCGGGUUGUAAACCGCUUUCAGCCGGAAAGAAAUCGCCAAGGCUAAUAUCCUUGGUGGAUGACGGUACCGGAAGAAGAAGCACCGGCUAACUACGUG